rnacentral:rRNA from 1 species
UACGUAGGGUGCGAGCGUAAUCGGAAUUACUGGGCGUAAAGCGUGCGCAGGCGGUUCGUUGUGUCUGAUGUGAAAGCCCCGGGCUCAACUUGGGAACGGCAUUGGAAACUGGCGAGCUAGAGUGUGGCAGAGGGGGUGGAAUUCCGCGUGUAGCAGUGAAAUGCGUAGAGAUGCGGAGGAACACCGAUGGCGAAGGCAGCCCCCUGGGCUGACACUGACGCUCAGGCACGAAAGCGUGGGGAGCAAACAGG